rnacentral:rRNA from 1 species
GGGUCAGUAGGUUGGUCGUGCCACCGGUACGUACUGGUCUCACUGAUUCCUCCUUCCUGAAGAACCGUAAUGCCAUUAAUUAGGUGUUGCGGGGAAACAGGACUGUUACUUUGAAAAAAUUAGAGCGUUUAAAGCAAGCUAACGCUUGAAUACAUUAGCAUGGAAUAAUGAAAUAGGACGAUCGAUCCUAUUUUGUUGGUUUCUAGGAUUGACGUA